GCCCCGGUAGCUCAGAUGGAUAGAGCAACUGCCUUCUAAGCAGUGGGUCCCGGGUUCGAGUCCUGGCCGGGGCA
rnacentral:tRNA from 1 species